rnacentral:lncRNA from 1 species
AUUCUUCCCAAUUUUCCCAGUAACCCGUCUGUCCUCCAGAUUAACAAACAAGUUCAGAGGAUCAGUGCCUUGCUCAGUCCACACCUCGGGUUGUGGCUGGUGAGCCAGGGCCGGGGGCUUCCACAUUUCCACUGUAUUUGCCACAUCAACACAAAGUCUCACCAAAUUCAGAAUAACUAAUCUCUGCAAAGGUCUAGCCUGGCGCAGUUUCCUCCCCUUGCAGACGAUUCCAGGCUCCAGGCCUACCCCCCUAACAGAUCCGGGAUGACGAGAACCCCUGGGGUCCACCAGCCAACCCAAGCUACACGCCUACCACGCCCAUUCUAUUCCACUUAGAGGAAAAGGAGAGCGGUUCAAAGGUUUAAAGCAUUUAUUGUGCUCCCGCAAAGGCUGACGGGAUGGAAGGAGGCGCGGGGCCGUCACGCGCCCCGAGCGACUGUUUGCCUCGCACCCAAAGGCGGGGGGCGGUGGGGGGAGGGAGGGGCUGGUGAGCUGGAAAGGACGGCGAGGAGGCCCUGGCUCCGGCUGUGACCGGCUGGUACGGCCUCCGCCAUUGGCGUACAGGAGCUGGUAACCAUGGCAGCAGCUGUCGCCAAAGGCAAGAGCCAAUGGGGGCGUUGCCCGGGCCAUUUCAAAAAUGUAAAGCAAACGACAACAAAAAAACGCUACAACGGCGGGGGAUGGGAGGGAUGAAAAGGGGAUGGACCGGCUGGAGCCACUCCCUGCGGCUCAGAACAGGCGUCGCGUCCCUGGCCAGGUUAAACGCACAACACCUCCAGACGGUUGGAGUAGAAAAACCGAACCGCGGAGAGACCCAGCUCGCUGGCGGCCCUUGGGAACUUUGCGGACGCUACACUUGGCUGCCUUCAAAACCUUCUUGCCCUCCAAAGCCUUUGAGGAAACUGUUAGUGAUAAUCACAUGGACCUGGAAGAAACUGCUAGUUUUUCGUCGCGGUUCCUUCGAGAAUGGCUGGAGCCCUUUCGUGACCCACAGAAUUUCCGUCAGUGGCCCAACUGCGGGUCUAUGCCUGAGCUGGGUCUCCACAGCCGCUAGCUGAAGGAAGGUGGUGGUUUUGGGCGGGGGGUUGACUGGGGCGAGAGGUUUCGCGGAGGGUGGUGGGUGGCAGAAUUCCUGGAAGGCACGGGGAGAGGCAGGGCCGCCUGGGCUGUGGCCCCAAGGCAUGGACCUCCUCUGCCCACGUACGUCUAGGGGAGGCACCGGUCCCAGGGUCAAGAGACUUUCGGUUGACUCAGCCAUCACUUGGAGCACGACUGGGGAUCUUCGUCGCCCCGCCUCACCGGAUUUCACCCUUCUCGCCGCCCAUCUGACCCCAUGCCCACCCACUGCGGUCCCGAUUGCGGUCCACAGAGGUGCUCCGGCGUGCGCGCCUCUCGCCAACCGGUAAGGCUGCCACUAGGGUGGUGGCUAUGGUGGCAGCUGGGGCAGCGGCGCAGGUUAUUGCGGCAGUGGCGGCAGCUACCUAGAGAUGUGGGACCUCGGGACCUAAGAAGAGGAAGGCAGACACGCUCUGCCCAUCUGUCCCGCGUCUCCCAGCCGUCCUCCUCUCCCCUCCCCGACUCCAGGAGCCCAACUCCGGGAAGUUGAAGCCGGGCUACCAACUGCUCAUGCGCGGGCUAGAGCGCCUCUGGCCUAACAAAGGCCACCGUAGUUGCUAAGCAACGUGGCCGCAGAGUUCUGAGGGAGCCGGAGCGCCUUCUGGUGGUGCAGAGGAGCAGGCACAGGCUGUUUCUGCUGCCUUAGAGAGGAGCUGUGGCCUAUGUUUUCCAGGGGAUCCUGCAGAAGGGAGGGAGGGAAGGAAGAAAGCGUGGUGUGAAGCAAGCCAUCUUCAGUCUGUGUCAAAAUGACCUUGCAACCCCACAUUGCAUGACCGAAGACGCUAGCCGGACAGGUCCUCAAUAGGAAAAGGUAAAGCAGUACCUCGCUUUCACAUUUCACAGUUGCGUUUAUUAGAGAUUAGGGGCAUAAUUUAACGAUGUGCCACGGUCCUUGCCUCCCUCCGCACAUGGAUAACAUCAGGGUCUCUGAACUUGUUUGAUAUAUAACCAAGAAAUUCUUGCUUCUGUUACAUUCAAUGUACAUAAUCUAGAGAAGAGCCCAGCUGUACUCUAUCCCUUUUUUUUAUAACCUACUUGUAAGUUUUUCUUUUUUCCUCUUCCCUUCAUGUCCAGUGUUUUGUGAAACAGAUAGAAAGUAGACUUAAAUUCACACACCUCAGAGCGGUUCCAUCAGAGCAGUCUGUUGAACUGUUUUCCAGGGGGUCAAACACCUCACGCUAAUCGUGGAAUAAGCUCCUUCACUAAUAUAACUUAGACUGUUCAUUUCAGUCGACAAAAGUAAAAAGGAAGGAAAGGAAGGUGGAUAGACGAAUGGGUGGUUAAAGGUCCCAAGAGUGGAGGAUGGCCUGGCAGGGGCCUGGCUGACUCAGCAGGAUCAGGAGACUAUCGGCGGUCAGACUUCCUCAAGUUGGCCUUGACGGUGUGCCUGGGACUGUCCGAAGAGGGGUCUGUCCAGUGGCCCCAAGAAGUGACUGCCUGUGUCCUUCUGGGUGGCUUUGUUCACUCAGGGGCUUCAGCAACUGGAGCCAUAAGCCGAGCCCGUGGAGCUGCCUGUCUGGGUGGGCACUGGGAAUGGGCACCCUGCUGUCUCCAUUCCUCCCGGUCACCUUGUGGCUGUGUUCCUGUGUUUCACUGCGUGGCUGAGUGUGAAUUAUUUUUCCUCCUUGAAGUCUCUCCUGGGCUUUCCUAAGGUGCGUCUGGCUUGGUAAUGGCUUCAGACUAGCAGUUGUAGGACGCCCAUGUCCGUCCAGAGAGGCACCUUUUCAAACAGAACACAAAAGACCUUAUCAGGAAUUGAUUUUACACUUGGAGGAAAAAUGCCAAAAGAAGUCAGAGAACGUGGUGAUAACUCCAACGCCCAAAGUAUCACACCUUCCCCCAAUGCUUCAAUCUUCUCUAACGCUGGUAACAUGAUCCAGAAGAAAGUGGAUUUGGGACGUCGGGACUGACUCCACUACAGAGUUGAUGGCCAACUCGCCCCAGACGCAAUGCCAGUUGAGCUGUCUGUUUUGGCCUACCAGCACUUCAUCUUCUGGCUUCCACUCUUUUCCCUGGGAAGUCCGACGCUGGGGGCUGGGUGCGGUGUUGGCCUCGCGGGGGUGGGAGUUCUUCGGUACCGGGGUUUUUCCUCGGAAACCCCUUACUCUCUCUCUCUGUCCUUUUUUUUUUUUCUUUGGCUUUGUCGACCCUGUCUCCAACCUUCUCAGACUUUGGGUGGGCACUCUGCAUGUUUCCUCUUGGGUCCUGGAUAGGAUAUUCUCCAUCGUGACCCCUCUGGGGGUUCUUCUUGCGGUGCAAAGCCUGGCUGGGGUCAUCGUGGUCAGUCUGGGGAUCUCCAGAGUCUGCCUCAGAAACACUCUCUGCAUCUUGUCUUGCCACCUCCCAAGGCCGCAGGUGUGCGAUGCGAUCUUUCUGUCCCCUGUGCUUGCCUUGGCUCUUCACUCUCUCGCGUGAUCCAGUGCUCCUCCGCUUGGCUGCACUCGUUCGGUCCCCGUGGGUUCACGUUUCCUUCCGCGGCGCCUCUCCUGUUCCUCAACCCUUCUGCUCAGCUCGUGGCUUUUGUUCUGCUUAAGUCACGGACACCCCUCUUUUCCGGUUCCUUGGUUGGCUUGGUUUGGUUUUUCAAUUCAGAAGAGAGACUGACCCUUCCCUAUCAAGACCGAGCACUUCCCUUCCUAGUCUCGCCCCGGCGCCUUUCCCGGACGCUCGUCCCUCCCCCUGCACCCCCUCCAGCAGCCUGUCUCUCGGCAUCAUUCACGUUCAGGGACAACGCGCCGCUUUUCCCUCGGGGAUCCGACGACUUCCGGUGGCCGUGCCCAGAGGUGGGGUGCUGCCCUUGCCGCCUCUUGGAACACGACGGGAGGGGCCCGAGCCCCCGAAAGGCCUGGAGAAGACCCUUCCUGACCAUCACACGAGCCUAGAAGAGACUGCUUCUUCUCCAAAGGGGAUCCUCUGAGGGCGGCUAGAGCCCUUUCAGGGUGAUCCCCACCGUGGAGGGGACAGAGGCCUGACAGGAGAAUGCCCGUCUGUGGCCCAAGCAGCCACCGAGGGUCUGUGCCUGGGCCGGGUCUCCACGGCCAGCUCCUCGACGGCCAUGCCCAGGUACCACCUGAGGGCAGGUGGUGGUUUUCGGGUGGGGUGAAAGGUGGGGAGGGGAGAUGCUUUCGACACCUUCCUGGAAGACCCUGGGAGAGGCAGGGCCCGCUGGGCUGUGGCCCCAAGGCAUGGGCCUCCUCUGCCCACGUCUAGGGGAGGCUCCGCUCCCAGAGUCAGUAGAUUUGCAGUUGAUCCGACCAUCACUUGGAGCGGGACGUGGGGACAUUCAUGGCCCCCGCCUCAGCAGAUUUCAUCUCUCGCACCCCAAUCCCACCCCAUUGCCCCCCACUGCCGUCCAGAUUCGGGUCCACAGAGCGGCCCGUCAUGCCCGGGUCUCACUCUAGUAAGACUGCCACCAGGGUGGCGGUCAUGGUGGCAGUUGGGGCUGAGGGUGUGGCAGCAGGGGCAGCAGUGGAUUUUAUGGUGACAGUGGAGGCAGCCACUCAGAGAUCUGGGAUCUCCGGGACCUUAGGAGGGAAAGGUGGAGGCACCCUGCAAGCCUGCCCUCCUCUCCCUUCCUUCCUCCUCUCCCCACCCCUGUCUACCCACUCAGGGAGCCCAGCCUCCUGCUGCUGAAGCCGGCCAAUCAACUGCGCAUACGCGGGCUCUCUGGAGCCUCGCAACGCCCGCUCCCUUUGCUAAGGAACUUGACCGCGAGGCUCUCAGGGAGCGGGCGCGCCCUCUGGCGGUACCUAGGCGCAAGCACAAGCUGUGACCGGUGAUUUCCUGAGGCGGCUGUGGCCCAUGUUUUCCAGUGGGUCCUUCAGACGCUUGGAUGACAGGAAGGAACAAGGAAGGACGGAGGGAGGUAAGAAGGAGGGAAAGAAGGAAGUUAGGAAGGUAAAAAAGAAGGAAGGGAGGUAGGAAGUUAGGUCAUAAGGGAGAAAAGAAAGAUGAAUAGAAGGAUGAAUGGGUGGUUGGGGCUCCCAAGAGUGGGGCAAAGCCGUUCAGGGGCCUGGCUGAGAAAGCAGCAUCCGGAGCCAGGCGGUGGGAUCCCUUCCUCAAGUCAGCCUGGAGGCUGUGCCUGGAACUGUCUGCCACACCCUCCAAGGGGUCUGCCCUGUGAGCCCAAGAGGGGACUGCCUGUGCGCUUCUGGGUGGCUUUGCUGGCUCAGGGACUUUGGCACCUGGAGCCACAGGCCGAGCCCAGGGAGUCACCAGUCCCCGUGGAGGGACGAGGCUUGCCCUCUGGGCCUGGGCACCCUGCCGUCCCCAUUCCUCACAGUCCCCUCGUGGCUGCGUUGCUGUCUUUCUGCUGUGUGACUGAGUGUGACUUGUUUUUCCUUCCUCCUUGAAGUCUCUCCUGGAUUUUCUUAAGGUGUGCCUGGCUUGACAAUUUCUUCUCACCGGCUGUUGUAGGAAGCCUCUCUCCAUCCUGAGACACACCUUUCCAAACACAAGAUCACGAGAAGACUCGAUCAGGAACUCAUUUGACACUUGGAGGAAAAAUGGCCAAAGAGCUCAGAGAAGGUGCUCAGGCCUCUAACAGGACCACCCUUCCACCCCCCUGCCCCCAGUGCUCAUGAUCAAGAAGAGGAGAGUUGUUUGGGAGAACAGGACCGACUCCACUGCAGACUUUAUGGCCAACUCGCCACUGACUCAUUGCCAGUUGAGCGGUGUAUUUUGGCAUACCAGCACUUCAUCUUCUGGCUUCCACUCUUUUUCCUGGGGAGUCCAACCCCGGGAGCCGGGGGCAUGGUUGGCCAAGGGGGGGGUGGUGUUCUUCGGGACCAGGGUUUUUCCUUGGAAAGCCCUCUUUCUUUGUCUUUUUUUUUCUUUUACUUUGUUGGCCCUGUCUUCAGCUUACUCAGACCUUGGGUGGGUGCUCUACACACUUCCUCUUGAGGUCCUGGAUAGAAUAUUCUUUUCUUUUUUUUUUUUUCAAGAUUUUAUUUUUCCUUUCUCUCCCCAAAGCCCCCGGGUACAUAGUUGUAUAUCUUAGUUGCAGGUCCUUCUAGUUGUGGCAUGUGGGAUGCCGCCUCAGCAUGGCUUGAUGAGUGGUGCCAUGUCCGCGCCCAGGAUCUGAACCAGGAAACCCUGGGCCACCUAAGUGGAGCGGGCGAACUUAACCACUUGGCCAGGGGGCUGUCCCCCAGGAUAGGAUUUUCUUGACCGUGACCCCUCUUGGGGUUCUUCUUGUGGUCCAAAACAUGGCUGGGCUCAUGGUCAGUCUAGGAAUCUCCAAGUAUUGCCUUGGAAACACACUCUCUCCAUCUUGUCUUGCUGCAUCCCAAUGCUACAAGAAUCCGUUGCGAUCUUUCUGUCCUUUGUGCUUGUGUUGGCUCUUCACUCUUUCCCAUGGUCCUGUGCUCCUCGCUUGGCUGCCCACGUUCUAUCCCUGUGGGUUCACUUUUCCUUCAGCGAUGUCUCUCCUGUUCUUCAACCCUUCCGCCCAGACUGUGGCUUCCAUUCUUCUUAAGUCACGGCUCUACCUCUUCUCCAUUUCCUUUAUUCGUUUGGUUUGGUUUUUAAACUCUGUAGAGAGACUCUCUUCUCUUUCUGGACUGAGCAUUUCCCUUCUGUGACUUAAUCACUUGUGUCUUUUGUGGAUGCUGGUAUCUCCCAUGUUCCUUUCCAUGAACCUAUCUUUUGGCACAAUUCACAUCAAGGAAAAUGCACCACUUUUCCCUUUGGGUUCUGAUGCCUUCUGGCUGGCGUCCCCAGAGGUGGGGUGCUGCCAUCACCAGAACUUGGAACACGAUGGGAGGGGCCUGAGCCUGGAAAGCACUUCAGAAAUCUCUUACUGACAAUCACACGGGCCUAGAAGAAACUGCUCCUUCUUCAGCGUGGUUCCAUUGAGAAUGCCUAGAGCCCUUUUAGGAUUAUCCCCACUGUGGAGGUGACAAAGGCCUGACACAGAGAAGUUCCUCAGCGGGCUAAGUGCCCAGCAACAGUCUAUGCCUUGGCUGGGUCUCCAUGUCCAGGUCCUCGACAAUCACGCCCAGGUACUAUCUGAGGGAAGGUAAUGGUUUUCAGGUGGGGCGAAAGGCGGUGGGGGUAGGGGAAAUGGUGUGUUCAACACAUUCCUGGUAGGCACUGGGAGAGGCAGGGACUCCUGGGCUGUCACACCAGGGCAUGGGCCUCCUCUGCCCACGUGUAGGGGAGGCAUUGGUCCCAGGGUCAGUAGAUUUGCAGUUGACCCGACCAUACUUGGAGUGAGACUUGGGGCAUCUUCAUGGCCCCUGCCUCACCGGAUUUCGUGAAAUCCCUCCUGCCCGUUAUCUGACCCCAUUUCCACCCACAGCGGUCCAGAUUCAGGUCCACAAAGGGGUCCGGUGUGCCCGUGUCUCACCACCCAGUAAGGAUGCCACCAGGUGGGCUGGCUGGCAGUGAUGGUGGCAAUUGGGGUGGAAGCUAGGGUGGCAGGGGGCAGUGGUUGAGAUUAUGGUGGUGGUAGAGGCAGCCACCCAGUCAUCUGGGAUCUCUGGAACCUGAAGAGAUGAAGGUGGAGGUACCCUCCCCACCUGCCCCCCUCUCCUGUCCUUCCUUCUCUCCCCUACCAUUGCCCACUCCCUCUGGGAGCCCAGCUUCCUACUGUUGAAGCCGGCCAAUCACCAGCCAUGACUACCCACAUUGCUAAGCAAUGUGACUAGGAGGCUCCUAGCGAGCUGGUUCGCCCUCUUGUGUGGCAAGGCGCAAGCACAGGCUGUGGCUGGUGCUUUCCUGAGGUUGCUGUGGCCCCAUGUUUUCCAGUGGUUCAUUCAGACAUUUGGAUGGAGAGAAGGAAAGAAGGAAGUCAGUAAGGAAGGAAUAAAGGAAGGAGGAUAGGAAGGUAAAAAAAGAAGGAAGGAAGUUAGGUAAAACAAAGAAAAGAAACGUAGACAGAAAGAUGAAUGGGUGGUUGGGGAUCCCAAGAGUCGGGGAAGGCUGGGCAGGGGCCUGGCUGAGAAAGCAGCAUCCGGAGCCAGGUGGUGGGAUCUCUUCCUCAAGUUGGCCCAGAGGCUGUGCCUGGGACUGACUGCCACACCCUCCAAGGGGUCUGCCCUGUGAGCCCAAGAGGGGACUGCCUGUGCACUUCUGGAUGGCUUUGCUGGCUCAGGGGCUUCAGCACCUGGAACCACAGGCCGAGCCCAGGGAGCCGCCUGUCCCAGUGGAGGGAUGAGGCUUGCCCGCUGGGCCUGGGCACCCUGCCGUCCUCAUUCCUCCCAGUGACCUUGUGACUGUGUUGCUGUAUUUUGCUGCAUGGCUGUGAAUUUUUGUUUUCUUCCGUGAAGUCUCUCCUGGGUUUUCUUAAGGUGUUCCCAGCUUGGACCAGCAGUUGCAGGAAGCCCUUCUCCAUCCUGAGAGACAUUUUUCCAAAUUCAAUAACACAAGGCCUUAUUUUAGACUUAGAGGAAAAAUGCGGAAAGAGAUCAGAGAAGGUGCUUAUGACUCUAAUGCCCCCCCUCCUCACCCUCUGUGCUAGAAUAUGACCUAACCCUAGGGCCAUUAUCAAGAGGGGGAGAGUGGCUUGGGGACGGCAGAAUCAACUCAACUGCAGAAUUUGUGGCCAGUUCACCACUGCCCCACUGCCAGCUGAGCUGUCUGUUUUGGCCUCCCAUCACUUCAUCUGGCUUCUGCUGUUAUGACUGGGAAGUUGGUCCCCCAGGUGUGGUGGGAACAAAAGUUAUUCCUUGGAAGAUGUUCUUUCUCCCUGUCUCUCUUUCUGUGUUUUCUUAUUUUUCUUUUUUGCCUUGUCUGCAAGCUUCUCAGACCUUGGGUUGGCUCUUGUGGCCCUGGAUGGGAUAUUGUUUUGUUUUGUUUUGUUUUUUGUCUUUUGUGGGUGUUUUUGAGGAAGAUUAGCCCUGAGCUAACAUCUGCUGCCAAUCUUCCUCUUUUUGCUGAGGAAGACUGCCCCUCAGCUAACAUCCGUGCUCAUCUUCCUCUACUUUAUAUGUGGGACACCUGCCACAGCAUGGCUUGACAAGCGGUAUGUAGGUUCACACCCAGGAUCCAAACCAGCAAACCCCAGGCCACCCAAGCAGAAUGCACGAACUUAAGCACUGCACCACCGGGCAGGCUCCUGGAUAGGAUAUUCUUGAUCAUGACCCCUCUGGGGGUCUUCUUGCAGUCCACAGCAUGGCUUGGGGUCAUGGUCAGUCUGGGAAUCUCCAAAUACUGUCUCAGAAACACACUCUCUCCAUCUUUUUUUGCUAUAUCCCAAUCCUCCAGGUGUCCGACGUGAUCUUUCUCUUCUCCGUGCUUGUGCUGUCUCUUCAGUAUUUUCCAUGAUCCUGUGCUCCUAUGCUAGGGUGUAUGCAUUCUAUCCCAGUGGAUUCAGUUUUCUUUCAGCUGUGCCUCACCUGUGUAUUGCCUAGUCUCUUCAAAACUCAUUGUCAUGGACUAAAGAGGUGUGUAGCUUGGAGGGCUGAGGAGAGGUAUUGGCAUGCUUUUAAUAAUAUAAGUGGUCCCAGAUGGAGGAUUUGAGAAACAAGAAGGAAUGAUGAACAAAGAAAAUGCUAAAAUGUGUGUAAGUAGAAAACAGUAUUGACAGUGGAACAAAAUAGCAGAAAUGACUGACAGCAUUUAAAAAGACAAUGAAAGGGCCGGUCUGGUGGUGUAGUAGUUAAGUUCGUACUCCACAUCAGCAGCCCAGGGUUCCCAGCUUCAGAUCCCAGGCACAGAUCUACAUGCCACUCAUCAAGCCAUGUUGUGGCGGCAAAAUAGAGGAAGACAGGCACAUACAAAAUAGAAGAUGAUUGACACAGAUGUUAGUUCAGCAACAAUCUUCCUCAAGCAAAAAGGGGAAGAUUGGCAACAGAUGUUAGCUUAGGGCCAAUCUUCCUCACUAAAAAAAUGUAUAUAUAUAUAUAUAUAUAUAUAUAUAUAUAUAUAGACAGUGAAAAUACUGGAAAACAGUGGCAUAUAAUUCAAGAGAUUGGUGUGGGUUUGAUUUAAAUUAUUUCAAGUCCCUUUAUUGUUACAGAUAGGCCUAAUGUUUUGAGAUUCAGAUUUAGUAAGCUGUAAGAGACCUGAAAUAAUUGUUCCUUAAAACAAGAUAAAAACUUGGGCCAGCCCCAAGGCCAAGUGGUUAAGUUUGUGUGCUCUUCUUCGGCCCCCAGGGUUCACCAGCCCAGGUCCUAGGCAUGAACCUACACACCAUUCAUCAAGACAUGCAGUGCUGGCAUCCCACACAGAAGAACUAGAAUGACUUACAACUAGGAUAUAAACUAUGUGCUGGGGCUUUGGGGAGAAAAAAAAAAAGAGGAAGAUUGGCAACAGUUGUUAGCUCAAGGUCAAUAUUCCUCACCAAAAAGUAUACCUUUAAAAAAAAUAAGGUAACUGAUUUUUCUAUCCUCACAUUUAGUAGUCUGCAGUUAGGUAGUACAGGACUGGUGUAGAUCUUCUUUCUUGUUUUCCAUCACCCUGAGGAUGGUGACCUUAUUCACCCAGCCCAAGAUGGCACACCAUCACAUUCACAUCCCAAGGAGCCAAGUGGAGGAGGGGGCAAAGAGGCACAUCAGUUUACUUUAAGAACAGGAAUCUGAGGUUGCACACAGUACCUUCUGUCACGUGCUCCUGGCUAGCACUUACUAACGUGGACAGACGUAGCUGCAGAGCUAGCUGGGAAAUUACCAAGAGUUAUGACAUCCAGCACUGGUGAUGAAGCAAGUAAAUGAAUAUUGAACCAUUGCUUUUGAGGAAAUAUUAUAAUGACAUUUAGAACUUAAACUUUGAAUACCUGUUUAAAAAUCUAGGGCUUCUGUUUUCAGCUCUGACAUUUCAGGAGCUUAGAAGCCAUCGCUUCUGUCCUUACAACAAGAGAAAAAACUGAACAAACUGAAAAUGAAUGACUUUUCUUAAACCUAUCAGAGAAUUGAGGUCACAGGGAAAGCCGCCACCCUGAAUUGUGGAGAGAUGGAAAAAUGUGGGUGAUAACAACCAAGAUCAGUUUACUUGGAGCAAAAGCCACUGGAGCCAUAAACUGUUAGGAUCACUUAAAUGAUAAUUUUGAUGAAUUGCUGAAGGAAACCAUGUAAGCAAGAAGACAGUGGAGUGAAAUAUUUAAAGUGUUGGGGGAAAAGACUAGAAUUCUACAUCCAGUGAAAUCACCCCUCAAAAUGAAGGAGAAAUAAAACCUUUCUCAGAGAAACAAAAAUGGAAAGAAUUUGUUGCCAGGAGGUCUGUCUUGCGAGAAAUGUUAAGAGAAGUUCUUUUGAGAGAAGGAAAAUGGUAUAGGUCAGAAGCGAAAGGAAGGAAGAUUGUCAGAGCAGGAAUAAAUGAAGGUGGCCCAGGGUUUCGUCAUCGGUUCAAAUCCUGGGUGUGGACAUGGCACUCAUCGAGCCAUGUUGAAGCAGUGUCCCACAUACCACAACUAGAAGGACCCACAACUAAGAAUACACAACUAUGUACCUGGGGGCUUUGGGGAGAAAAAGGAAAAAAAUAAAAUCUUUUUUUUUUUUAAAGUAGUGCUUCUCAAACUGUGGUGAAAGACAAUUUUUUUUCUUUCCUUUAUAAAAAUUUGCAAUCUGUUUUGAACCAAGACUUUUUGGAAAAUAUAUAAACACAAAUUGCUUGAAAAAUAAGAAAAAGACAUACAAGACACAAGCCCCAUUUUAUUUUUAGUUUCAACAGACAUAAAAUUAGAUUUUCAUAAAUAUAACCAGAAGAAGCAUAACAGAGAAAAAAAUAAUAUAAAAAACUGUUCACAUUGUUCGUUAACAAGUGCAUAGGGGUGAAUGAUAUACAGAAUUACUAUUACACUAUUACUAUUAACUUUUUAUCCAUAAUCAUAACCAAACAAAAUAUAAGGGAAAUAAUUCUCCAUACUAUGUCUAUACACACAGUCUGAAUGAACGUCAUGUAUAACAUUUUUCAAAGUUUCAGUGACAAAUGAGCUAUUUAAGUUGUGGAGUAGGAACUCUCUCCUGUGCUAUCCAACCCCCACCCGUCACCCUCACCUUUGUCCACAGGCCCCAGCAUCUACCCUCUUUCUUUUUCCCUGGUAAGAAAUGCUCCAUUUAAAGUAUUGCCAGCCUCUGCCCCUCCAGGAAGUCUUACUUUGGCCCUUCCUCACAGGUUUUGCCAGGGGUUCCUCGCAGGAGUGAUUUUUGUUCCUGAGGCCUUGUCCUUUUACUUCCCUCCAAAGAAUCUGAUUUGCAGCUCCAAAUUUACUCUUCAAUACCUGCUCUGUGAAAAUGGACUGGAUUCUUCAAGCCUUUCCUCUUUACAGUGAGUAUGAUGUGAAACGUUGUCAGUAGAGGGCGCUGGAGGAGGAAGGGGCUUCUCUUCCUGGUUCUGGCUGCUGCAUUUUGCUUUUUCUUGCUCUUGCUUUGUGGUCCAUGGGGUGUGUGUAUGUGAAAACAUUCAAUGAUGCUCAGCACCAGCUGUGCUCCAGAGCAUGCAGUCUCUCGGAGAUCUUGCCAAUCUGGCCUGGGCUCAGUGACCACCUUGCUGAGGCCCUCCUGAUGAGACACUCACACACAUAGUGGAAUCGCAACUCUCUCUGUAUACCUGCCCAUCAGCUUUGGCUUGCAUGUGCCAUGGAAGGCUAUUUCCUGCAGCCCUUCUGAUGUGGAUACCCUGCAUCUCACCCUCGUGCCUGCGGUGCCACUCCCACACUGAGUACUUGGCAACCCAGCAAACUUCUCUGCCAUCCAGUGGGAUGUAACUACAUCUCUACUGAGGUCUGAAACCCAGCCUCUGGGAGGGACCCUCCUUCCAACUUUGUCCUUCUUUAGGUACUCUCCCUCAGCCCGUGUCUGGUAUUUUCACCGUAAGCAUCUUUGCCAUAGACAUCUUUCCUGCAUGUGUUUUCACUGCAGACAUUUUCACUGCAUAACUAAUUGGCCAUAAGGCAAUUUUGUUAUCAAAGAUGAAAUAAUGAAUAAUAAAAGAGGGAUAUUAAAAAGGAUAUAAUAAAACAUGAAAAAUGAAUAAUAAAAUUAAAAAGACAUUGCAAAAUACAAAAUAUUUGAAUACAUUUAAAAUAUGUGUAGAUUCAUGGCAAUAAUGAGCAAAUAACUGAUUUUAUUUUGUGGGUUGUACCUAAGCACUUGUCUGCAAAGUCUUUCAUUCACAAUAUAUAUAUUUUUUUGCUUGUUGAUUCAUUUCCUCAUUUGGCAUCCAUCACACUUUUUCUUUUUUGCUAAAACUUCUUCCUUCAUUAAGAGAGAUAUCAGUUUCCAAAUACUAGGAUGCAUAUUUGUAACUGAGCUUUGUAUUGCAUUGUGAAAAGCCUUCUACACUGUUCUUUGUUCUUGGCUCAUGUCUGUGGAUAGAUGUUCCAGAGUUCUAUGGGAAAUGCAAAGCUAAGAUUUAUUUAAUAUAAAAAUGAGAGUAUUGUGUCAAUGGAGAAAUGAAACCACACUGUCAAGCAGUUGAAACCAAAUUGUCAAACCAAACUGUUACCCAGUUAUUUUAUCUUUUAUGGCAAAAUUGCCUUACGACCAAUUAGUUAUACAGUGAAAAUGUUCACAGCAAAAAUGCUUGUGGCAAAGAUGUCUAUGGCAAAGAUACUUGCUUAUGGCAAAAGUACCCUAAGGGUUCUUUGAUGUCUUUAUAGUUACUCUCAUCAUUGCUUAAUAAUUCUUUAUAUUAAACUUCUGUUUAAAUUCUGGUGCAGUUUCUGUUUCCUGACUGAACCCAAACUAGUACAAACUGACUAUAGGAAUUGGGUGCUGAUACAAAAAGCUUCUCAUCCAUUUUUGGCAAAAGCCCACCGUCAUUAAUUUCUCCAGGAUACCCAACUCCUAAAAGUCUCAUAAGGUAGGACAGUUUGCCUUCUGCCUCCUUGACAGAUUAUAAGCUCCACAAUAAACACUCUCAUCUUUUUCUCCAAGAUACGUGUUUCUGCCCAUCAGUCCUCCUAUAAGAACAUUGGGCAUGACGGAGAAGCUCAGCAACUUGAAAAUGAAUACCUGUUUAUAGUAAUGUCAUAUUUUUAUGGAAGUUAAAUUCAAAAGUCAGGAACAAAAUAAAAAAUUGGUUGUAUUCCAAAUCAUCCUAUAAAAUAUCGUAAGUGGUUCACAAAGCAUAAAACAUGGAUUGAUUAUCCAACACUGAAGAAUAAUGUGUGUAUAUAUAUAUAUGUGUUAACCGUACAUCAUUAACAUGCAUAUAUAAUAAAAGGCCCAUAUACUAAAUAUAAUUUCAUGAUUCAUAUUUAUACAAAAGAGUAACACAUAUAUAUUAAUUUAUGUGCAAAAGUAACACACACCUUAUAUUAAAUGUGCAUAUGAUUAUUGGCAAAUCGGAGACUCAGUCCUAAGUUAUCAGCCCUCAGGUUACUUACCAAUUAGAAAGGAAAAAAUAUCACUUUACAAUGGAAAUAUCUGGCCAUUACCACUUUAACUAAGUGAUCAAGUUUAGCAUCACCAAUAGUGAAAUGACCUGACCUCAUGUUUCUCCUCGUGUGAUACAAGAGGACACAACCUUGUCUAUGUAGUACCCUUGCUAACUUGUUUAACCUGGAUUUUACCAUGAGAAAAUAAACAGACAAAUCCAGACUAUAAGACAUUCUGUUGAACAACUAACUUAGAUUCUUAAAAAAAUCAAUGUCUAGAGAAAACAAAAAGGUGGAGGGACUGUUCCAGAUUAAGAGCCUAAAGAGACAUAGCAUCAAAUGCAAUGCAUGAACUUUGUGUCCUGCUUAAAGAAAAACCUAUAUAAGACAUUUUUGGGACAUUUGGAGGAAAUUUGAAUAUGAGUGAGUUGUGGAAUUAUUAAUUUCCUUGGGUCUGAUCGUGAUGUGUGGUUAGAAGUAUGUGGGAUGUAUUACUGUGUUUACUGAUAUGAGUGAGACACUUUUGUGUGUGGUGAUGUAUGUGUAAGACUCUGUGUAGAAGAAAAUGUCCUUGUUUUUAGGAGAUACGUGAUGACAUAUUGACUAGUGAAGUAUCAUGAUACUUGAAUUUAUUUUCAAAUGGUAGAGAGAGAUUAUCAAAAGUGGCAAGUUGUUAGUUGGUGAAUCCAGGAGAUAGGCAUGCAUAAGGGUUCUUUGUACUAUUCUUUCAACGCUUUUAGAGAUUCAAAAAUUUUCGAAAUAAACAAUUGAAGAAAAUGUGCCUAUUAGGUGACUCCACUCUAUCAUAUGGGAGAAAUAAAUGUGGGAGAGCACUGAGCCGCUUGCGGAUGUACCCAAAGACCCCACCAGAACAGGAGAACUAGGGAACCAGUUCCUCAAUUUGUUUCUGUAAGAGAAGCUUCAGGAGAAGGAAAGCAGAAUAUUCUGGUUGGGGCCGGGGAUGG